GUGGAGCAUGUGGCUUAAUUUGACUCAACGCGGGAAAUCUUACCGGGUCCGGACACACUGAGGAUUGACAGGCGAUAUUAUAAGGUACUAUGCUUAUAUGUAAAUUAUGCUAGUCCUUUCAUGAUUAUGUGAUAGGUGGUGCAUGGCCGUUCUUAGUUCGUGGAGUGAUCUGUCUGCUUAAUUGCGUUUCAUUUUAGAUGAACUAUCUUAAUAGGUACAGUUGGAAUACGUUGUUCAAGGUGAUAUUUAACGAUGUCAGUCUUCGAACGCAGUUCCGUGUACUUUAUAUGUUCUGAAAGCAACGAACGUGACCGCAAUCUCUUGUUGCCUUUAUAUAUAUUUAUGUACAGUUGCAAUUUGUGGCUUACGCUGUUUAUUGUUAGUUGUUUAUAAUUAUAUGAAAGUCAAAUUCAUUUUGAUUUUUAACAGAGGCUUUAAAACUAGAGAGACCGCUGUCUAAACCCUUAAACCAGAGGAAGGAUGCGGCAAUAACAGGUCUGUGAUGCCCUUAGAUGUUCCGGGCUGCACACGUGCUACAAUGAUUAUGGCAGUGAGCAUCUUUAUUCAUUAACGCUACUGCAGUAUAAAGUUCAAUGAUGUUUUCUGACUCUUUAAUUAGAGAAAGUCAACUGAUUGACUUUACACCUUGCAGUUUAAAGCUAAGCCUACUCCGAAAGCUAGUAGGUAAUCAAUUGAAAGUCGUGAUUUCCCUCUCAAGCACAUUAUACAGUACCUGCUGUUAGUUGUAACAUACAUUUAAUGUUAUUGUUGAUUUUAUUAUCAAUUAAUAACUGUAUUGUUCGACCCGGGUCUGUGCUUUUUAUUUAAUUCAUGGUGGGGACAGACCAUUGUUAAUUUUUGGUCUCGGUCUCAACUAGGAAUGCCUUGUACGGGUCUUUGGUUCAACAAACCACCCGGAAUACGUCCCUGCCCUUUGUACACACCGCCCGUCGCUCUUACCGAUGGACUUCUCUGUGAGUUUGAGGGACUGGGUAUCUUCACAUUUUAGCAUUUUUUCUUAACGGGGAGUUUGUUGAUUUUGAAACACCUAUGGAAACUUAAACGAACAGUGUGGUCUAAAG
rnacentral:rRNA from 1 species